rnacentral:lncRNA from 1 species
GUGGCUUUCAGAGUAGAUGCCAAGUGAGGGGCAUAUUUUACCUGUAAAUACCUUACUUUAUUUCCUGGGGAAUCCUCUGGCGCAGUAGAGGAGUCUAGGGUGUUACCAGUGACCCGAGGAAGCACUGGGAAAAGACUGUUUUCUGUCUUUGUCGGUCCCUCCCUCUUUGUCUCUCUGCCCUGCCUGGCUUUGUUGGGCUCUUCUUGAUCCGUGCUGCUCACCACUCUCCUCCGUCCUGUCGUGUGGGGGCGCUCCUGAGCCUGCGAGUCUGCCUGACCACACAGGAAGGAGCAGGUCUUCUGAUCGCUCUUCCUUGCCCUUGCACCAGUAGAGGAAAGAAAGGUAGCCCAGUGUCAGAGUAACCGGAAGUUCUUUUCUUGCCCUAGACAGCCAGUGUCCUUGCUCUUGAGGCAGCUGCUUUGAUUCAGGUGAAGCCAAGAGUGCAGGUGUGUGGGUGGUAGGAACCAGCAAGGAGAUGUGUCCAGAGGCCCCUGCAGAAGAUGGAGGGGGCUGAUUUUGAGGGAAGAGGAAAAAAUGGGAAAUUAUUUCAAGGAGAUCUUGAACUUCCAGAGGAAAAGUAAAAAUUCCAUUCGCUCAUGAGAAUGCAAGGGCCCUAAUAAAUUCUUGGACCUGAGCAGGAGACCCCGCUGGCGCUGCCACCUAUUAGCAGGAGACUUGGGUGAAUUGCUUUCAGAUUUUUUCUCCAGUGUAUUGGAGUGACCUUCACCUACCUCAGAGGGUCCUAAGAAUUAAAAGGGAGUAAUGCAGGCAGAAAUCGUUCCUUCAGGAUACUGGUCUAGGUGUGGCAAGUGCUGUGCAAACUAAGCCUCCUGGAGGUUUCUGUGAAGCUGAGACUUAACAGCAGUUGGGCUUUUACAGAUGAACAGGCCCAGGUGAGGGAGGGACUUACAACCUGUAUCUUGAGAGCGCGGGUGGGAGUGGAGCAGGGCAACAGGGUGAGGCUCGUGAUCAAGUCUCUAAAGCCACUCCUUUAUUUGGAGGCACCAGAAACUGCUGAACGCAGGCAACUUUUGGGGAAGUCAUUCCUGUACCAGUGGCUAUGCAGUGGGUGGCCUGGAGAGGCAGACUUAGAGGCGUGGGCCCGGCCCA